rnacentral:lncRNA from 1 species
UCUAGCCGACACGCGCGCUGCAAGCAAGUAGCAAUGGCUAAACUUUAAUCUAUCAAAACCCAAGAAACCCUGAAGGGGUACCUAGCUAUAUAUAGGGGUGGGAGGACGACCUAGGGGUGCCUAGGGUCGUGCUCCACCUGGUUGGGGCGCACCCCACAUGGGCCCCACCUGGGCCGGGGUCCCAAAUGAAGUUACAAGCCCAUAGGCCCAUUAUAGGUGACGCAACACCUUGUGCCUGUGAUUCCGGCCACACGAAAUGGAAUUCGGAGAUGACUGGAUCCGUUGGAAAGAGGGAUCCGAGAGCUUUCCAUCAAGUACUCACGGGCCAAAAACGGAGGUCGUAUGCAGAUUCGGCGGCCGUUUGAAGUCAGCAGUGUAGCAGGUGGCCGAAUCGGAUUCCAGCACUUGGACGAUGUGAUCUCGAUAUCUUCUUGUUCAUCCAUGAUAUGAGCAAUGGUUGCAUCCGUGGUAGCCAUGGUCACAUCAUCCUCCCCUUCUUCAUGGAAAACCGUCCUCGGUUUUUCCAUAUGGUGCUCUUUGCGUAGUCCAUUUACAACAACCUGUUUCGUCCAAUCAAAACAAGACAAACUCGAGACAAUUUUGUUAGCAAUAACAUUUCUCUCUAGCUUGCAUGUUUUAUCCACAUGUACAGGAGGUUCUAAAUCUGAACAGAUGUAAACUCUAUGCACCAAAUAUAUUCCUCUAUCAUUAUAUUCACCAAAGAGAUGAAAAAUAGCGUUACUUGGACAUGGCAAAUCAGACUUAGCAAAUAAUUUCUCCUUCAAAUUAUCGAGCUCAUGAAAAUCAGCAAACUGAACAUAGCCCAAAGUAUUUAAAGAAGAUGUCAAUUCACGUUCCUCUACUCUAUUAGCAAUGUGAACAACAUGCUUAAAAUCAGCGCAGUUAGUAUUAACAACAGGAAUAGCAUGUUCAUUCACUAGUUGUGGCAUGGAUAUAAGUGAAGCAUUAUCGCACAACUCUUCUUUAUCACAAGGAACAGCAAGUAAAUCAACUUGUGACAAAGGCAGCUCAGCAAUUGAUUCCACUAAUGGUUGCUCUACUAUAGCAUGAAAAGUGGACAAGUGUAGCUCACCUUGAGAAUACUCACCUUCAUUUCUCUCAGCACCAUUUAAUUUACCUUGCGAACUUUCUUCAGACAUCGCAGGUGCUUCAUCCUCUUUCUCCUCAAGUAUACCAUUCUCCUUUUCUUGGAUGUGCUGAUCUUCCUGCAAAACGUUAGUAACAGGGGAGACAAAAGAUUGCUCCUCCAAUGUUUGCACAUCAUCAUUACAUAAGUAUAUUGGGAAUUCAGAAAUAGGAGAUAAAUCACAUUGGUCAUGCAUCCUCGCCUUUGAUAUGAUCUGACUCUCAAUGCUACGAGCAAGCAUGAAUAGGUGCCCAAUAUGAUUAUAUGUCACAUUAUCAAGCAAAACCUGAAUUUCAGAAUUAAGCCCAUUGAAAAAUCUACGUAUUGUAUUUUCAUUGCACUCUUUGAGACCACUGUAGAUGAUACAGACCUUAAAUUCAUGAAUGUACUCCCUAACAGUUCUAUCACCUUGUUUCAGAUGUUCUAAUUUCUCCCGAAGAGUACAUUUGUAAUAAGAUGUCACAAAGCGUUUUCUCAUCAUGGUUUUCAAUUCAUCCCAAGUUUCAGGUUUAUUACUAACAUAAGUCCACCAAAAUAAUGCAGAAGAGGUAAACUUAUUACUAGCAGCCUUAAUCAUUUGAGCAUCAGAAAAAUCAUAUAUAUCAAAUUCAUUGUCUAUUGCUAGCUCCCAAUCAAUGUAUGCAACAGAAUCAUACUUCCCAUCAUAGAAUGAUAACUUAGAUGCAACUUGUUCAAAAUUAUAGUCAUGUACCUCAUAUGCAUCACGUGGAGAAGUCGUCAUAUCUCGUCGAAGGUGUAGAAGUCGAUGUUCUCGUAUUCCCUUACGCAAUCCUGCCAUGCUUAGUAGGAAACAAGAAGUACACAAAAAUAUGCACGCUCCUAUCAACUACUAGGUAGUGGCAGCUCAAAUAUCACACACACUCAAGCUUUUAACCAAGCUCUUACAAGUUCUUACCAGAGCAAGCGGAAUGGUGAUGUACACCGACUUAACCAAGCACCCCAAUGGAGUUUGGAUGUAUCGAUGCCUUGGCAAACACUUGCUGUACGGCUGCAAUCAGAUCUGUGGAGCUCUGGGUAGGCUUAAAUAUGUAGCAAAGGGAUAGCAAAUGCUUAAAUCAGAGAAUGCAAAGUUGAAUAAUGGUUCAAAGUCAAGUACCGUGCUGGUCCUAGGCUAGAACGUACUAGAGACGCGAGCCUAGACACAAACGAUACCACAGGAUAGCACAACUCAAGCACAACUCUGAUACACAAAACCAAGAUCAAGAAUAAAAUGAUUUUUUUCCUUGUCUCUUCUUUUUUUUCUUUUUUUUUCACACUUUUUUUUUCGGUGCGGCUUUUCUCUUUUCUUUAUUUUAGCACCUUUCUGCCUUUUCUUUUUUUUAUCUUUUUUUUUUAUUUUUUCUGACCAGAACUGACCAAGGACCAAAAUGCAAAGUUACAGGGACUCAAAUGUAAAUAUAAAAUUUACUGGGACUCAAAUGUAAAAGUCCAAACCAAAAUUAAAAAUUAUACAAAAAUGGAAUGCUGAAUUUAUGUCGGUUCCGUUUUUCCAAACAGAUCUCGAAACUGACACCAAACAAAAAUUCACCAAGGUGUUUGACGCGACUCACACUUUGUGAUGUACGUGAUUUGGAGAGAGAGGAGCGAGUCGGACUGUCACGGUGGUGGUGGGUACGGUAGGUGGGAGGGUUCGGCCUGGCCCUCCACAAGUGGAAACCAAAUCCAAUCAAAAAAAACUUUCCUUUUCUUUUCUUUCCUUUUUUUUCUUUCCUUCCACCCCACCGAAUCCAAACUGAUCUGCUAUAUUCCUCUAUUCUUCCUCGCACACAUGCACGGCACAGCCACCGAACAGAAGCUAUGCAACUGAAGAACUCAAAAACUAACCGACAAAAACUUCUGAAAACUACGAAAAUAGAAUCGUGGCAGCAAGCCGAUUCCGUUUUCGUAGGUCCCGACGACAACAGAGACACGGAGGCGACGACGACUGUGGUAUAAAACGUGACCAUAACUCGAAACUCUAAACGGACUAAACGCUAAGACCAGCAACACGACUCGACGAUGCAACACAGAUUCAACAAAGCAAAAACUGAAAAGAACAAUGCAAUGGCACAAUAUGGCUAGGUAAAUGAUACAAUUUUUUUUUUGUCUGGCUAUUUUCUGGUUAUAGGUAGAAGAAAACUCACCGAGAAACGAAAGCUCUGAUACCACCUGAUGAACCCUGAGUUCCUCUCGACACUCAAGGCAGUUGUUUGGCCCGAUCUUUCGGUGAGUUGUGAUAACUACGAUUUGGGAGAAACGUUGACGAUCCGACUACAACCGUACGAGACGUUGUGUUGCGCCUUAGCGAUCGAUACACCUCCCCGUGGGUUGUUGAUCUUACCGGUGCAGAUCAACCCUAUUCCUGCAAGCAAAUCGAAGAAACAAGCAAGAACAAGAUAAAAGCAAUCUGAUAUUGCAAAUAGGAAUUUAAUACAAAUGAUAAGUUGGGGUUCCGAAGAACAAGCAGACGGACGGUCUAGCCGACACGCGCGCUGCAAGCAAGUAGCAAUGGCUAAACUUUAAUCUAUCAAAACCCAAGAAACCCUGAAGGGGUACCUAGCUAUAUAUAGGGGUGGGAGGACGACCUAGGGGUGCCUAGAGUCGUGCUCCACCUGGUUGGGGCGCACCUCACAUGGGCCCCACCUGGGCCGGGGUCCCAAAUGAAGUUACAAGCCCAUAGGCCCAUUAUAGGUGACGCAGCACCUUGUGCCUGUGAUUCCGGCCACACGAGAUGGAAUUCGGAGAUGAGGCUAGAUCCGUUGGAAAGAGGGAUCCGAGAGCUUUCCAUCAAGUACUCACGGGC